AACCCCAGGGUCACACCUGGAGAGUUUCCAGUACUCUACUAAUCUUGGGAAUGGGAGGGAGAGUCAAGCAGAGGCCUACCCAUUCCAUUCCUAGCUUGGACCAUGGCUAGUGAGUGGAAGGCAAUCUGCUAUAAGU